rnacentral:rRNA from 1 species
GACGAACGCUGGCGGCGUGCUUAACACAUGCAAGUCGAACGGAAAGGCCUCUUUCGGGGGGUACUCGAGUGGCGAACGGGUGAGUAACACGUGAGUAACCUGCCCUUGACUUUGGGAUAACUUCAGGAAACUGGGGCUAAUACCGGAUAGGAGCUCCUGCUGCAUGGUGGAGGUUGGAAAGUUUCGGCGGUUGGGGAUGGACUCGCGGCUUAUCAGCUUGUUGGUGGGGUAGUGGCUUACCAAGGCUUUGACGGGUAGCCGGCCUGAGAGGGUGACCGGCCACAUUGGGACUGAGAUACGGCCCAGACUCCUACGGGAGGCAGCAGUGGGGAAUAUUGCACAAUGGGUGGAAGCCUGAUGCAGCAACGCCGUGUGCGGGAUGACGGCCUUCGGGUUGUAAACCGCUUUCGCUCAUGACGAAGCUUUGUGUGACGGUAGUGGGUAAAGAAGCACCGGCUAACUACGUG